GGUAGAAGCGCAGCGCGGUGAGGGCUCUGCGCAAAUCCAUCUUACUCUCAAUAGCUAAGUGACAUGAAAGCCAUAAAAGAAAAAGUGGUCAGCAAUAUUUAGCAGCACGACUUGGCCCCGGGCGCAGGGAGCUGCGCUAUAAAAAGCCGCUGGAAUUUACUGGCAGCUACAAAUAUUUGCUUAACUUGCGUCUGGAGUUGGGGGAUUUUCCGGGGACAGAGGAGAAUGAGUGAGGGCUGGAAGCCGAGUCUCUGGAGCAGAGGUCCAAAAGGAAAAAGGCCCGGCACUUCACAGCAAGCCACCCCAAGUCUUCUCACCAGUUAUAGGAGGUUCCCAGACCCUUCUGACUUGGACUUUCUGAGGUGCUGUUAUUCAGAGCAACUAUCAAAUUCUACCUGUUAAAACAUGAUGGAUUAGAGAAAAAAACAACCCACCAGGAACCUGAAAAACCAGCGUUCAUCUCCAUGACCACGGCUUGAACUCUCCUUCCAACGUAACGAUAAUAGGUUCUGUCUUAGAAACUGCUAUGUAAUUUGAUGUAUGGGGGUCAUUUGGCUCAGGACAAGGCAUGGAAGCACAAGCCAUAAAAUCCUGCCAGAGUUCCCUGAUCUUUGUGGGCUGCUGUUGUUGAUAUUUCUUACUUGCCUAUUUACCUGCUUCAAAAACACCAAGGGUAACAAUGAAAAUCUAAAAAAGUAAUUAAAAACCUUCUCAACCCU